CCUACGGGUGGCAGCAGUGAGGAAUAUUGGUCAAUGGUCGGGAGACUGAACCAGCCAAGCCGCGUGAGGGAGGAAGGUACAGAGUAUCGUAAACCUCUUUUGUCAGGGAACAAAGACUGGGACGCGUCCCCGGAUGAGUGUACCUGAAGAAAAAGCAUCGGCUAACUCCGUGCCAGCAGCCGCGGUAAUACGGAGGAUGCGAGCGUUCUCCGGUUUUAUUGGUUUCAAAGGGGGCGCAGGCGGUCUUUUAAGUCAGCGGUCAAAGCCCGGGGCUCAACCCCGGCCCGCCGUUGAAACUGGCAGUCUCGAGUUGGAGAGAAGUAUGCGGAAGGCGCGGGGUAGCGGUGAAAUGCAGAGAUAUCGCGCAGAACUCCGAUUGCGAAGGCAGCAUGCCGGCUCCACACUGACGCUGAGGCACGAAAGCGUGGGUAUCGAACAGGAUUAGAUACCCUGGUAGUC
rnacentral:rRNA from 1 species